AUAUGAUUCCACAAAAUCUUGUUUCGUUCAAGUAACGGAUUCUAGCCAAGUGAAAGGAUCUUCUGAUCAAUCCAGAGAUCAUUUGGAUUCCAUUAGUAAUGAGGAUUCGGGAUGCCAUUAGUAAUGAGGAUUCGGAAUAUCACACAUUGAUUAAUCAAAGAGAGAUUCAACAACGAAAAGAAAGAUCGAUUCUUUGGGAUCCUUCCUUUCAUCAAACGGAACGAAAAGAGAUAGAAUCAGGCCGAUUCCCGAAAUGCCUUUCUGGAUAUUCCUCAAUGUCCCGGCUAUAAACG
rnacentral:lncRNA from 1 species